GAUCAAAUUCAGGUUCAAAUUGAUAGGGAAUGGUAUCAGAUCAUGACAGUGUGGUAGAGUAGAGCAAUCUAGGCAUGGUUCAGUUUUAA
rnacentral:sRNA from 1 species